UUCUUGUUGAGCCCUCUCAACCAAGAAAGUAGUCACCAGUUUCAAGCUGGCUUUUCUUGCGUUCUAUUCCUUUCAAAGAUUUAUUACAGAAUGAAUAAAAGAUGUAAAACAAAAGAGUCUUCAAUCUUUAUGAAUGUUGCUCCUCACGAAUCUGGAUAUUCAAGGCUUGUUCAUGAGCACAUUAUCAUUUCUCUUAGAUUGUCAACAAAACGUAUUGAGAUCUGUAAUCACAAUUAUGAAGUUGUUAGUUUGUUG
rnacentral:lncRNA from 1 species